GCCUGGGUGGCUCAGUCGGUUAAGCGUCCGACUUCGGCUCAGGUCAUGAUCUCACAGUUUGUGGGUUCGAGCCCCACGUCGGGCU
rnacentral:tRNA from 1 species